rnacentral:pre_miRNA from 7 species
UUUUACCUCUGGUGGGUGGUGGGAUAGAAGUGAAAUACCCCCGAAGGGAGACCCUCACUCAAGCCCCGGGACAGCCGCGGACCCAAGAAGACACUGAGACCA